CCUACGGGAGGCUGCAGUGGGGAAUAUUGCACAAUGGGGGAAACCCUGAUGCAGCGACGCCGCGUGAGUGAAGAAGUAAUUCGUUAUGUAAAGCUCUAUCAGCAGGGAAGAAAAUGACGGUACCUGAGUAAGAAGCCCCGGCUAACUACGUGCCAGCAGCCGCGGUAAUACGUAGGGGGCAAGCGUUAUCCGGAUUUACUGGGUGAAAAGGGAGCGUAGACGGCAGUGCAAGUCUGGAGUGAAAGGCGGGGGCUCAACCCCCGGACUGCUCUGGAAACUGUACGGCUGGAGUGCAGGAGAGGUGAGUGGAAUUCCUGGUGUAGCGGUGAAAUGCGUAGAUAUUAGGAGGAACACCAGUGGCGAAGGCGGCUUCCUGGACUGUAACUGACGUUGAGGCUCGAAAGCGUGGGGAGCAAACAGGAUUAGAUACCCCAGUAGUC
rnacentral:rRNA from 1 species